rfam:Fukomys damarensis contig126277, whole genome shotgun sequence.
CCGCACUCCAACAUGGAGGCACUUGCUGGAACACGACAGAAAUAAGUGCUUCCAUGUUUGAGUGCGG